rnacentral:rRNA from 1 species
UACGUAGGGGGCUAGCGUUGUUCGGAAUAACUGGGCGUAAAGCGCACGUAGGCGGACACUUAAGUCAGAGGUGAAAUCCCAAGGCUCAACCUUGGAACUGCCUUUGAUACUGGGUGUCUUGAGGUCGAGAGAGGUGAGUGGAACUGCGAGUGUAGAGGUGAAAUUCGUAGAUAUUCGCAAGAACACCAGUGGCGAAGGCGGCUCACUGGCUCGAUUCUGACGCUGAGGUGCGAAAGCGUGGGGAGCAAACAGG